UGAGGUGGGAUCCCGGUCUCUUUUACCACCGGGCGCACCACCGGCCCGUCUCGCCCGCACCGUCGGGGAGGUGGAGCGUGAGCGCGCGCGAUAGGACCCGAAAGAUGGUGAACUAUGCCUGGGCAGGGC
rnacentral:rRNA from 1 species